GUGCCAGCCGCCGCGGUAAGACAGAGGGUGCAAACGUUGUUCGGAAUUACUGGGCGUAAAGCGCGUGUAGGCGGCCCGGAAAGUCGGAUGUGAAAGCCCUGGGCUUAACCUAGGAAGUGCAUUCGAAACUCCCGUGGCUUGAGUUCUGGAGAGGGAAGCGGAAUUCUCGGUGUAGAGGUGAAAUUCGUAGAUAUCGAGAGGAACACCGGUGGCGAAGGCGGCUUCCUGGACAGUGACUGACGCUGAGACGCGAAAGCGUGGGGAGCAAACAGGAUUAGAAACCCUCGUAGUCC
rnacentral:rRNA from 1 species